CCAGCCUCACGCUUCACUCUUCUUCUCCAAACCUCCCCCUCUCAUUCUCACGCACACACACGGCGACACUCUCAACACCGGAUGGGAUUCAACACCACAUACUUAUUUAAUUUACUAAUAUUAAACUCGGUUCUUCAACUCCAACGAUUGAACUCCAAAAAACUAUAAGGUAAAGCUGCCGAGAUUCUACCAACGUUCGCACAACUCAGAUGAGUGGAGGUGGCAGCAGCACAUGGGAGCUAGUCGAGCAUGGUGUAGGGUCUGAGAUUAAUUAUUUAAAAGAAGUGGUGCUUGGGUUGUUGCUGGUGUCCUUCACGUGGGGAAACAAUGGGCAAAAGAUGUGGCAUUUAUUUAAAGAAAUGGUGUAGGGUAUGGCCCCCAUUUUAUUAAUUUAUGUGAUAACUCAUUUUUUUGGAUAAAAUAUUGGUGCUUACAUGCCCCAUCUGCAAAACCUAGGCUCCAUAGUAAAAUAAGAAGCAAAAUAAAACAAAACAAAAGAUACCUGAAACAUAAUCCACAUAGUUUUUAGAAUUUUGUUACCCGAUGAAAUUAGAAACAUUGUAAUGGAGAAAAUUAAAGCCACAGUGAUGGCAAGUUUGAGGCCAUUGGGACAAAAAAUGAAAACCAUCAUGCAUUAUACAUGUAGUGUGUUUUUAUGGUGAGGAGUAAAGGGGUUGACAGUUAAUUUUGAAGCUUUAAUUUGGAGGCAUAGUUAACAGCAAGAUAAACGAAUGUGUUUGGUAGCUUAGGUUUUCUGGGCAGCACUAACCCGCAAUGGUCAUCGACAAUUUUCAUGGUAGCAAAUGAGAAGAAAAAGAUGGAAGUUCGGGGAGACAUAUCAAACAGAAGAAAUGAUAAGGCACCACCCAUUGUGUGGUCGAGAAGCCCCUCCAGCGGAUGACUGUACAAAGCUCCAAAUGCAUAAUAAACGACAAGACGAUGUGCAGAGUUUGUUCUCAUACAUGUAUCUAUGCAGAAAAUACUAUCAUUUAUCCACUACCACCAUUACUGUAAGAAAUUGUCUAACUAUAACAACAAAGGAAGAUGACUGUCGAACAGAAACUUUA